CAUGCAUCUGGCAGUUUAGAAACCGAGAUGUUUAUUUGCCCUGAACCCCAGAAAAUCAUAAGCGAACUCUGCAGGGUCCUCAGUGAGGGUGGGUGUUAACAGGAAGGAGUGGCGGAGAGUCAGGGGCCUGCCAGGAGUCAGCUCUCCCUGGGGUUGGCUGGCUGGUCCCUGAAGGAGGAGGGCCUUGAGGACGGCCGGGUCCCCAGUGCCACUGCAGUUGGUUGCAGGAAGAGUGCGGGUGCAGCCUUCCUGCUGGGUGGAGUCCAGUGUCAGGGGUUCAGGUGACCCUUAGUACACAGAGGCACGAUUCUCCCUCAUCAAAAAAUAACCAGCUGGAUGUAAAGGCAGAACCCAAAAUGGGGAAACUAUUUUCCGAUCAUAUAUUUGAUAAAGCACGAACUGCCAGAGUGCAGAAAAGAACUCCUUCCCGUGACUCCAUAGCAGAAAGCAGCCCAUUCGGAAAUGAACGAAGGACUCAGUAGACAUUUCUCCAAAGAAGGUGGCUAGGUGGCCACAAGCCCUCGGAAAGGUGCCUCAUGCGUCAUUAGAAAUGCAAGGAGACACCACUCCACACCCAGAGGGGGGUAUCAUAACAAAGAAGCAAAGAAGGAAAAGAAACUGGAGAAACUGGAACCCUGUGCAUCACUAUAGACGUGCAGGGGGUAGGGCAGCCACUGGUGGGACAGCAUGUGGCGCUCCGGAAGGUCAACCGCGGGAUUUCCAUGAGAUCUGGCGAUCCACCUCUGGGGGGUCAACCCAUGAGACUGAAGGCAGGACUCCCAGCAGCGGGAAGGCAGAGCCACUGGGCCUCCCGUCAGGAGGGGAGUGGAUAAACAGAACAUGGCGCAGACACACCGCCAACCUUACCAGGCAGCCUUAAAGAGGAAGGAAAUCCUGCCACGGGCUAUGGCACGGAUGCACCUCGGGGACACAGUGCUAAGUGACAUAAGACAGACACCAAAGACAGAUGGAUGAGUCCCCUCCAGGAGGAACCUGGGAUAGACACAUCCUAGAGAUGCAAGCAGAGUGGACUUGACCAGGUCCAGGGGAAGGAGGGGAAGGAGAGUUAUUUGUCUGGGACCAUAGAAUGUUCUGGAAAUGUGGUGACGACCCCCAACAUCCUGGACGUGUGCAUGCCUCGGAAUUGUACACCUAAAUAGCUGAAGUGGUAAAUUGUAUGUUCCGUGUAUUUAGCCCCAUACAACCCACUCCAGUGGUUCUUGUGCGGUCGAGAAUCCCUAGAGGGUUUCCUAAAUAAGGCUCACUUCUAUGUCAUUUUAUUUCUUUUUCUUUUC
rnacentral:lncRNA from 1 species